CCUCACAAUCCACUCCUCCAGCGUGGGAAACUGAGGAGACCUCCUACCUGGGGACUCUGAGGACAGCCAGCUUCCCAGGCCCCUGGGACACAUAGCCUGUCCCCUUCUUAGGAACCCUAGAUUAUCCUAGGUCAGGUCAAGGGCUGGUGGCCGCGGAGGACAUGGCCCCACUUCACUGUUCGAGAAGGACUGAGCGGCUCCGAGUCAGGAGCAGAACCUGCCUCUCCCCUUCUUUUUUGAUCUCCUGAUAGAGACCACACAGUGUUCCCUUCAUGGUAUUUUGAUGGCAUAUGGCGUAUAAACACAGAUGUGACCUUUACACUCGGCACGGGGUCACAGCAGAAUCAGUGAGAAAAGAUAAAACCAGCUGGAGUUGAAGUUAAAGCUGAAAAGAUCUAAUUCGAAUUUUCCCUGGACACAAUGUCGCAGAGCCCGGCACAGGUGCCUUGGAAGGGAUGCUCUUCAGUCCCUUCCAAACCAGCCCGUGCGGAAGUCUCCCGUGAAAGAGCCGCCUCUGGAGGUCCCGACAUACUUGGUGACACUGCUCUGAGGAGACCCUCAUCCGAGGCACCCUGUGCCUCCUGCCCCGGGGGAAGUUUGCUUUAUUAAAAUAAAGCAUCAUGAGGCGUCUGGGCCAGGGUACUGUGUUGGAUGGCA